UGUCAUCUUUAUGCUUUGGAUUGAAUUGGAGGCUGUAGAGCCUUUCUUGGUAUGUCGUUUCUUAUAUUUUCUGUCUUUUCUUUUUCAUUCAUACAGUAAUGCUGGUGUAUUGUAUGGUUGAAUAUAUUUUUUUUUAACUUAUAUUGUGCUCUCUGAAACUUCAUCUUUUUUCUGCUAUGAUUUUCUGGGAUAUUUAGUAUGGUGUGUUUGUUGCAGGAUGCAAUGGAGAAGGCGAUAAAAGCCAAAGUUGCUAAAGCUUUUGUACCCGCAAUUGAUGUCAUGUUUCAAGCCUUAAGGUUUGUAUUGAGUUUAAUUUUGUGGGAAAUGUUUCUUUUACUUCUUUAUCUAAUCUGCAUGUUUGGUUUGAUAGUGAGUUUGGAGCAAAAGUUGUGCCUCCAAAGAGGAUAUUAAAGAUGUUGCUUGAGCUAUUUGACCAUCAAGAUCAAAAUGUUCGUGCAUCUUCUAAAGGACUUACUCUUGAGCUUUGUCGAUGGAUUGGAAAGGACCCUGUAAAAUCAAUAUUAUUUGAGAAAAUGAGGGAUACAAUGAAAAAAGAAUUGGAAGCCGAGCUGGUGAAUGUAACAGGGGCAGCUAGGCCAUGUCGCAAAAUAAGGUCUGAGCAAGACAAGGAGUCAGAAAAGGAGGUUGUAUCUGAAGUUGUGGGUGCUGGCCCAUUUGAGGAAUCUACAUCUGAUGGUGUGUAAUACACAUAGUCUAUUAGAUUAUUCUUUUUCUUGGUUGAUAUUAAAUGACGACAAGUGAGUGUUCAAUCAGCGGGUAACAAGUGAUUACCAUUGUAGAAGUUUGACACUUUAGUGUUAUAUUUUAUUAGUUUUUUUACUGCAGAGAUGUUGGUUAUUUAGCUCUCUUUUUUAUGCAUAGUUUAACAUAUUUUAAUUGUCAGCUCCUCAGGAAAUAUAUGAGUAUGAGCUCGUUGAUCCUAUUGAUAUAUUGGCUCCUUUGGAGAAGUCUGGAUUUUGGGAUGGAGUGAAAGCAACCAAGUGGUCAGAACGGAAAGAGGCUGUUGCAGAGCUAACCAAGCUUGCUUCAACAAAAAGAAUAGCACCUGGUGAUUUCUCAGAAAUCUGUCGGACACUAAAAAAGCUCAUAACAGAUGUUAAUAUCGCUAUAGCAGUCGAGGCAAUUCAAGCUAUUGGCAAUCUUGCUCGGGGUUUAAGAACUAAUUUCUCUGCAAGUUCACGCUUCCUAUUGCCAGUUUUGCUGGAAAAAUUGAAAGAGAAAAAACCUGCCUCUAUUGAGGCACUAAAUCAAAGUCUUCAGGCAAUGCAUACAGCUGGGUGCUUAAGUCUAGCUGACAUUGUGGAAGGCAAGUAUAUCUUUAUCCUACGCUGUAGUUCUUUAAUUCAGAAUAUAGUAUUGUCAUAGGAUUCCUUACUAUGUUUUUGGUUUAAGUUUUUUUUUAUUAGA